UAAAACCAAUUGCAAUAAUCUUAUGUCUACUCGAAUUCAUGGAUAUAGAUAUUACUAAUGAGAAAAAAAUGAUGUUAAGGUUGUUGGGCAAAGAGAUCAAUAUGACAUUGUAUCUAUAAGCUAUAGGGUAACCCAUAUCAGAAAGCGUCAUCCAUUUCUCACGACCCUGAACACCUAAUUUAGUUACUCAUAACAAACUUCUAACUUUAGAGACUAUGUUAUAUACCAUAUUAAAAUACAAUUGAUGAUGUUGAUAAACUUCAUCAUCUA
rnacentral:lncRNA from 1 species